AAUAUCCUGCAGUGUUGGCGUUAAGGCCGCGUUAGUUUUAAACCUACAAUGUUUCUUAGGGAGUUCGGGUCCGUUAGUGGCUGUCAGGCCGUAUCCAGACGGAAGGCAAAAGCUAAUGGUAGGGCACCCACCUGCGAGGGCAGGUUUAGAAACUUGCGGCAAGCGGCUCUGCGGGAUACCC
rnacentral:other from 1 species